rnacentral:rRNA from 1 species
UACGAAGGGGGCUAGCGUUGCUCGGAAUUACUGGGCGUAAAGCGCACGUAGGCGGCUUUCUAAGUCGGGGGUGAAAUCCUGGAGCUCAACUCCAGAACUGCCUUCGAUACUGGAGAGCUCGAGUCCGGGAGAGGUGAGUGGAACUGCGAGUGUAGAGGUGAAAUUCGUAGAUAUUAGCUAGAACACCAGUGGCGAAGGCGGCCAACUGGUCCGACACUGACGCUGAGGUGCGAAAGCGUGGGGAGCAAACAGG